UAGGGAAUCUUCGGCAAUGGGGGGAACCCUGACCGAGCAACGCCGCGUGAGUGAAGAAGGUUUUCGGAUCGUAAAGCUCUGUUGUUAAGGAAGAACGAGUGUGAGAAUGGAAAGUUCAUGCUGUGACGGUACUUAACCAGAAAGGGACGGCUAACUACGUGCCAGCAGCCGCGGUAAUACGUAGGUCCCGAGCGUUGUCCGGAUUUAUUGGGCGUAAAGCGAGCGCAGGCGGUUAGAAAAGUCUGAAGUGAAAGGCAGUGGCUCAACCAUUGUAGGCUUUGGAAACUGGUUAACUUGAGUGCAGAAGGGGAGAGUGGAAUUCCAUGUGUAGCGGUGAAAUGCGCAGAGAUAUGGAGGAACACCAGUGGCGAAGGCGACUUUCUGGUCUGUAACUGACGCUGAUGUGCGAAAGCGUGGGGAUCAAACAGG
rnacentral:rRNA from 1 species